CAACUUUCAACAUCGGAUCUCUUGGUUCUGGCAUCAAAGAACAACGCAACGAAAUGCGAUACGUAAUGUGAAUUGCACAAUUCAUUGAAUCAUCUAAUCUUUCAACGCACAUUGCGCCCUUUGGUAUUCCAAAGGGCAUGCCUGUUCUAGCGUCAUUU
rnacentral:rRNA from 1 species